GCGCCAGGGCCGGGAAGAACGGAGGCUGGUGCCCCAGCAUUGCACUCAUGGCAAAUUCCGGACCCCGGUGAGAUCCCCAUGGAGCAGCCUCCAAGAACAAUCCUAAUAUCACAUAUCAGUGAGAUGACCAAGUUCAGGGCCUUACUGAAGCACAGAUCAAUAGAGCGCUGCUGGAGGAUACAAAGGACCACACCCACACGCUGAUUGGACCCUCUGAUUGGAUCUCACGUGGAUGUCUUGACCACUGCCACGGCUUUCAUGCAAAUUGAUGACGGGGCCGAGCCUAUUCGUCUAGAGGAGAGGAAGUGUUGCUGCUGUUGUUGUGGCGAGUAUCUUCAAAGAGUUUGGGACGUCAGUCGUGAGUGGAGCGGAGGGCAG